GAUGAAGGUUUUCGGAUCGUAAAACUCUGUUGUAAGGGAAGAACAAGUACGUUAGGAAAUGAACGUACCUUGACGGUACCUUAUUAGAAAGCCACGGCUAACUACGUGCCAGCAGCCGCGGUAAUACGUAGGUGGCAAGCGUUGUCCGGAUUUAUUGGGCGUAAAGCGCGCGCAGGUGGUUUCUUAAGUCUGAUGUGAAAGCCCACGGCUCAACCGUGGAGGGUCAUUGGAAACUGGGGAACUUGAGUGCAGAAGAGGAUAGUGGAAUUCCAAGUGUAGCGGUGAAAUGCGUAGAGAUUUGGAGGAACACCAGUGGCGAAGGCGACUGUCUGGUCUGUAACUGACACUGAGGCGCGAAAGCGUGGGGAGCAAACAGGAUUAGAUACCCUGGUAGUCCACGCCGUAAACGAUGAGUGCUAAGUGUUAGGGGGUUUCCGCCCCUUAGUGCUGCAGCUAACGCAUUAAGCACUCCGCCUGGGGAGUACGACCGCAAGG
rnacentral:rRNA from 1 species